rnacentral:rRNA from 1 species
CCCUAGGGGGGCAGCAGUGGGGAAUAUUGGACAAUGGGCGAAAGCCUGAUCCAGCCAUGCCGCGUGUGUGAAGAAGGUCUUCGGAUUGUAAAGCACUUUAAGUUGGGA